GUCUGGGUGGCUCAGUCGGUUGAGCGUCCGACUUCAGCUCAGGUCAUCAUCUUAUGUUUCAUGGGUUCAAAUCCCACGUCGGGCU
rnacentral:tRNA from 1 species